UACGAGGGGGGCAAGCGUUGUUCGGAAUUAUUGGGCGUAAAGGGCGCGUAGGCGGUUUGACAAGUCUGAUGUGAAAUCUCUGGGGCUCAACCCAGAGUCUGCGAUUAGAAACUGUCGGGCUUGAGUAUGGGAGAGGUGAGUGGAAUUUCCGGUGUAGCGGUGAAAUGCGUAGAUAUCGGAAGGAACACCUGUGGCGAAAGCGGCUCGACUGGACCAUAACGUGACGCUGAGGCG
rnacentral:rRNA from 1 species